rnacentral:tRNA from 1 species
UGGCUCAGACGGUAAAAGCAUCUGCCUACAAAGUGGGAGACCCAGGUUCGAUCCCUGG